rnacentral:rRNA from 1 species
AUUGAACGCUGGCGGCAGGCCUAACACAUGCAAGUCGAGCGGUUGACGGGAGCUUGCUCCCUGAUUCAGCGGCGGACGGGUGAGUAAUGCCUAGGAAUCUGCCUAUUAGUGGGGGACAACGUUUCGAAAGGAACGCUAAUACCGCAUACGUCCUACGGGAGAAAGCAGGGGACCUUCGGGCCUUGCGCUAAUAGAUGAGCCUAGGUCGGAUUAGCUUGUUGGUGAGGUAAUGGCUCACCAAGGCGACGAUCCGUAACUGGUCUGAGAGGAUGAUCAGUCACACUGGAACUGAGAAAAGGUCCAGACUCCUACGGGAGGCAGCGGUGGGGAAUAUUGGACAAUGGGCGAAAGCCUGAUCCAGCCAUGCCGCGUGUGUGAAGAAGGUCUUCGGAUUGUAAAGCACUUUAAGUUGGGAGGAAGGGUUGUAGAUUAAUACUCUGCAAUUUUGACGUUACCGACAGAAUAAGCACCGGCUAACUCUGUGCCAGCCGCCGCAGUAACAC